rnacentral:rRNA from 1 species
GACGAACGCUGGCGGCGUGCCUAAUACAUGCAAGUUGAGCGCUGAAGGUUGGUACCUGUACCAACUGGAUGAGCAGCGAACGGGUGAGUAACGCGUGGGGAAUCUGCCUUUGAGCGGGGGACAACAUUUGGAAACGAAUGCUAAUACCGCAUAAAAACUUUAAACACAAGUUUUAAGUUUGAAAGAUGCAAUUGCAUCACUCAAAGAUGAUCCCGCGCUGUAUUAGCUAGUUGGUGAGGUAAAGGCUCACCAAGGCGAUGAUACAUAGCCGACCUGAGAGGGUGAUCGGCCACAUUGGGACUGAGACACGGCCCAAACUCCUACGGGAGGCAGCAGUAGGGAAUCUUCGGCAAUGGACGAAAGUCUGACCGAGCAACGCCGCGUGAGUGAAGAAGGUUUUCGGAUCGUAAAACUCUGUUGGUAGAGAAGAACGUUGGUGAGAGUGGAAAGCUCAUCAAGUGACGGUAACUACCCAGAAAGGGACGGCUAACUACGUG